rnacentral:rRNA from 1 species
AUUGAACGCUGGCGGCAUGCCUUACACAUGCAAGUCGAACGGUAACAGGUCUUCGGAUGCUGACGAGUGGCGAACGGGUGAGUAAUACAUCGGAACGUGCCUAGUAGUGGGGGAUAACUACUCGAAAGAGUGGCUAAUACCGCAUGAGAUCUACGGAUGAAAGCAGGGGAUCGCAAGACCUUGUGCUACUAGAGCGGCCGAUGGCAGAUUAGGUAGUUGGUGGGAUAAAAGCUUACCAAGCCGACGAUCUGUAGCUGGUCUGAGAGGACGAUGAGCCACACUGGGACUGAGAAACGGCCCAGACUCCUACGGGAGGCAGCAGUGGGGAAUUUUGGACAAUGGGCGCAAGCCUGAUCCAGCAAUGCCGCGUGCAGGAUGAAGGCCUUCGGGUUGUAAACUGCUUUUGUACGGAACGAAAAGCCCCGGGUUAAUACCCUGGGGUCAUGACGGUACCGUAAGAAUAAGCUCCGGCUAACUACGUGCCAGCCGCCGCCGCAG